UACGUAGGGGGCUAGCGUUGUCCGGAAUCAUUGGGCGUAAAGCGCGUGUAGGCGGUCCGGUAAGUCCGCUGUGAAAGUCGAGGGCUCAACCCUCGAAUGCCGGUGGAUACUGUCGGGCUUGAGUACGGGAGAGGCGAGUGGAAUUCCUGGUGUAGCGGUGAAAUGCGCAGAUAUCAGGAGGAACACCAAUUGCGAAGGCAGCUCGCUGGGACGUGACUGACGCUGAGACGCGAAAGCGUGGGGAGCAAACAGG
rnacentral:rRNA from 1 species